rnacentral:rRNA from 1 species
UCGGGAAUUUUGGGCAAUGGGCGAAAGCCUGACCCAGCAACGCCGCGUGAAGGAUGAAGUAUUUCGGUAUGUAAACUUCGAAAGAAUAGGAAGAAUAAAUGACGGUACUAUUUAUAAGGUCCGGCUAACUACGUGCCAGCAGCCGCGGUAAUACGUAGGGACCAAGCGUUGUUCGGAUUUACUGGGCGUAAAGGGCGCGUAGGCGGCUCUGUAAGUCACUUGUGAAAUCUCUGAGCUUAACUCAGAACGGCCAAGUGAUACUGCAGAGCUAGAGUGUAGAAGGGGCAAUCGGAAUUCUUGGUGUAGCGGUGAAAUGCGUAGAUAUCAAGAGGAACACCUGAGGUGAAGACGGGUUGCUGGUCUAACACUGACGCUGAGGCGCGAAAGCCAGGGGAGCAAACGGGAUUAGAUACCCCAGUAGUCCCUGAGCGGGCUGGCAAGGCGCAU